UACGGAGGGAGCUAGCGUUGUUCGGAAUUACUGGGCGUAAAGCGUACGUAGGCGGUUAUUCAAGUCAGGGGUGAAAGCCCGGGGCUCAACCCCGGAACUGCCUUUGAAACUAGAUAGCUAGAGUCUUGGAGAGGUUAGUGGAAUUCCGAGUGUAGAGGUGAAAUUCGUAGAUAUUCGGAAGAACACCAGUGGCGAAGGCGACUAACUGGACAAGUACUGACGCUGAGGUACGAAAGCGUGGGGAGCAAACAGG
rnacentral:rRNA from 1 species